AGGGGCAGCACAGGAGCAAUCGUGAGGUGGCGACCGGCGGCACGGGUGAGUAACACGUAUGCAACCUGCCUGUAAGCGGGGAAUAACCCGUUGAAAGACGGACUAAUACCGCAUAAUACUAAAUUACUGCAUGGUAAUUUAUUUAAACAUUUAUGGCGUUACAGAUGGGCAUGCGCAUGAUUAGCUAGUUGGAGAGGUAACGGCUCCCCAAGGCAACGAUCAUUAGGGGUCUGAGAGAAGGUCCCCCACACUGGUACUGAGACACGGACCAGACUCCUACGGGAGGCAGCAGUGAGGAAUAUUGGUCAAUGGACGAGAGUCUGAACCAGCCGAAGUCGCGUGCAGGAAGAAUGUCCCUAUGGAUUGUAAACUGCUUUUGCAGGGGAAUAAAGUGCAUCACGUGUGAUGUUUUGUAUGUACUCUGCGAAUAAGGAUCGGCUAACUCCGUGCCAGCCGCCGC
rnacentral:rRNA from 1 species